rnacentral:rRNA from 1 species
UACCAGCACCCCGAGUGGUCGGGACGAUUAUUGGGCCUAAAGCAUCCGUAGCCGGUUCUACAAGCCUUCCGUUAAAUCCACCUGCUUAACAGAUGGGCUGCGGAGGAUACUAUGGAGCUAGGAGGCGGGAGAGGCAAGCGGUACUUAGUGGGUAGGGGUAAAAUCCGUUGAUCCAUUGAAGACCACCAGUGGCGAAGGCGGCUUGCCAGAACGCACUCGACGGUGAGGGAUGAAAGCUGGGGGAGCAAACCGG